AGAGUUUGAUCCUGGCUCAGAUUGAACGCUGGCGGCAUGCCUUACACAUGCAAGUCGAACGGCAGCACGAGAGCUUGCUCUUGGUGGCGAGUGGCGAACGGGUGAGUAAUAUAUCGGAACGUACCCUAGAGUGGGGGAUAACGUAGCGAAAGUUACGCUAAUACCGCAUACGAUCUACGGAUGAAAGUGGGGGAUCGCAAGACCUCAUGCUCAUGGAGCGGCCGAUAUCUGAUUAGCUAGUUGGUGGGGUAAAAGCUCACCAAGGCGACGAUCAGUAGCUGGUCUGAGAGGACGACCAGCCACACUGGAACUGAGACACGGUCCAGACUCCUACGGGAGGCAGCAGUGGGGAAUUUUGGACAAUGGGCGCAAGCCUGAUCCAGCAAUGCCGCGUGAGUGAAGAAGGCCUUCGGGUUGUAAAGCUCUUUUGUCAGGGAAGAAACGGUGGACUCUAAUACAGAUCACUAAUGACGGUACCUGAAGAAUAAGCACCGGCUAACUACGUGCCAGCAGCCGCGGUAAUACGUAGGGUGCAAGCGUUAAUCGAAAUUACUGGGCGUAAAGCGUGCGCAGGCGGUUGUGCAAGACAGAUGUGAAAUCCCCGGGCUCAACCUGGGAAUUGCAUUUGUGACUGCACGGCUAGAGUGUGUCAGAGGGGGGUAGAAUUCCACGUGUAGCAGUGAAAUGCGUAGAGAUGUGGAGGAAUACCGAUGGCGAAGGCAGCCCCCUGGGAUAACACUGACGCUCAUGCACGAAAGCGUGGGGAGCAAACAGGAUUAGAUACCCUGGUAGUCCACGCCCUAAACGAUGUCUACUAGUUGUCGGGUCUUAAUUGACUUGGUAACGCAGCUAACGCGUGAAGUAGACCGCCUGGGGAGUACGGUCGCAAGAUUAAAACUCAAAGGAAUUGACGGGGACCCGCACAAGCGGUGGAUGAUGUGGAUUAAUUCGAUGCAACGCGAAAAACCUUACCUACCCUUGACAUGUCUGGAAUCCUUGAGAGAUCAGGGAGUGCUCGAAAGAGAAUCAGAACACAGGUGCUGCAUGGCUGUCGUCAGCUCGUGUCGUGAGAUGUUGGGUUAAGUCCCGCAACGAGCGCAACCCUUGUCAUUAGUUGCUACGAAAGGGCACUCUAAUGAGACUGCCGGUGACAAACCGGAGGAAGGUGGGGAUGACGUCAAGUCCUCAUGGCCCUUAUGGGUAGGGCUUCACACGUCAUACAAUGGUACAUACAGAGGGCCGCCAACCCGCGAGGGGGAGCUAAUCCCAGAAAGUGUAUCGUAGUCCGGAUUGUAGUCUGCAACUCGACUACAUGAAGUUGGAAUCGCUAGUAAUCGCGGAUCAGCAUGUCGCGGUGAAUACGUUCCCGGGUCUUGUACACACCGCCCGUCACACCAUGGGAGCGGGUUUCACCAGAAGUGGGUAGCCUAACCGCAAGGAGGGCGCUCACCACGGUGGGAUUCGUGACUGGGGUGAAGUCGUAACAAGGUA
rnacentral:rRNA from 1 species